rnacentral:rRNA from 1 species
AGCCUGAACGCUGGCGGCGUGGCUAAGACAUGCAAGUCGCACGGUGUAGCAAUACACAGUGGCGAACGGGUGAGUAAUGAAUCGCUAAUGUACCCCGGACUCUGGGAUAGCUACCCGAAAGGGUAGGUAAUACCAGAUGAGACGACGAUCAGGCAUCUGAUUGUGCUCAAAGGUCCGCCGGUCUGGGAGCAGGCGAUUUCGUAUCAGCUAGUUGGUGAGGUAACGGCUCACCAAGGCGACGACGCGUAGCCGGACUGAGAGGUUGGCCGGCCACAUUGGGACUGAGACACUGCCCAGACUCCUACGGGGGGCUGCAGUAACGAAUCUUCCGCAAUGCACGAAAGUGUGACGGAGCGACGCCGCGUGUAGGACGAAGCCCUUCGGGGUGUAAACUACUGUCAGGGUUAGAAAGUUCUGAUCAACCCAGAGGAAGGCACGGCUAAACUCUGUGCCAGCAGCCGC